rnacentral:lncRNA from 10 species
UUGCUUUCAUCCUUUUUCCCCCUCAGUCUUAUAAUGUAAUGCCAAUUAUUAGAAAAUAUAAUUCACUGUGUCUCACACUAUUAUUUAUAAUCUACUCAAGCAUUUUCUUCACAUUCUUAAUAUCCCCGGUGUCGGGGAGAAUUACAGCUGGGAAGCUGACUGCAGGACUCUGCGUAACAAGAGGAGAGAAGAACAUUGUUUUCACAGGCAAAUUUUCUGUUGUGUGGUACCAAGAACACAGAAUUCCAAAGGACCCAAAGUGAAUUGGAGUGCAAUGAGACUGAAAAGUACAAGAAAGUGGCAGCAUAGUGUUUCGUAUCAUCCCAGCUGGAAUUGGCCUCUCACUUCUCUGAAUGGAUGCAUUAUUCCAGUUGGACCGCUCUUGUGGCAGAGAGCUUAUUCUCACCUGCAUUGUGGUUACUCAUGGUGCCUCAACUCUCCAACAUCCUGAGCCUUGGGGGCAUCCUUGUAGCACCCUUUAUGUUGGUCAGACUUUCAUACAGUAUCGUCUUGUCUUUUCCUGUUGACUGAAUGAGUGAAUAGGCCAAUAAGUUGAACAGACUAUAGAUUUCUGUAAUAAUUACUAUGGGAAGAGGGGCAUGCCGUCCUGAGAUAUUACACUGAGUUCUGGUUUUGACUGCAUUUAUUCUUUCACCAGAAAGAAAGCAGCAACAUGUCAGUUAUCAUAGAGUGUUGUCUUCAUCUCUCAGGAAUGGGGCUGUUUGAUUCCACUGUUUCCAUUUAUUACUGUAAGAUAAAUAAUAGUUCUUCUAAUUGAAAAUGAGCAGAGAAGCUCUGACACAAGUGAGCACAGAGACACUAGACACAAUUUCUAAAGGUAAGAACUGCCUAAGUCCGUGUUCAAUGGAUGCAGCAUCUGCCCUAUUUAAACAUCUUCAAAUCCAGAUUCCAUUUAUGUAGUCCCACCCCGACCAGUGGAGACUUUCACCCCAUAUAUUGCGCUGCACAAUUGACUUGCUGCCUUCUGGGGAUGGGGGGAGUUCGCUCUCUUCCAGUGCUUCAUGUAUCAUCUGGUGCCAGAGGCAGUGAGAAUACAACAUUGGUGGACCAAUGGACUGAUCUAAUAUGGCAAAUCCUAUAUUCCUGUUUGGGUACAAAUGAAUAACCUCAUAUAGUUCUGCACACAUUCAACAAAAUGAUGAAAGGGAGAAAAAAGCCAAAUGGAAUUUCCUGAUCAUUGCAUUCCAUUUUAUUUCUCUGUUUAAACUUUGUAAGUGAAUUUAGUGUCUGUAGAAGGCAAUUGAUGGCUCUAACAGAAAAGGAAAGAAAAAUGUUAAAGCCCCAAACCACAAUUUGAGCACUGUUAGGCUUGGUUAUCUUCCCUUGCUGGGAUCCUCAGCAGGAUUCUGCACCUUACAGACUGCAAAUGUCAUCUCAGCAUUUUAGGGACAAGGGCUGUAGAUUCUGCAGGAUAGGGCUGCAACCCUAUGCCUGCAGCCUUUUAUUAGUAGGGAAUAGCGGGUAGGGGCAAAGAGGGAAGGAAUUGACUACCGGUAUUUAAAGGAAAAGAAAGGCUGUCUCAAUUUUGCUUUAAAUUUCUCAAAUCUCUCAUAUAAGGGAUUAUGCUUCAUGCCAAUCAUUUCAGCUUCUUCAUAGCCCACCCCAUGAAUAUUUUCAACUUCUAACAUUCUAGAACGUCCUACUAUUUGCUUUCUCUGCCUAACUUAUUCCUGUGCUGUAUUUCUUUGUCCUACCUCCUGCAUGAAGUCUUCCCUAAUCAACCCAGACUGUAAUAUCCUUCUGUCACUGUAAGUUUCUGAAAAAGGUGUUAUAUAUUACCUGUUUGUCAUCGUGUUCCUCUGCACUUUAAUUUUGUUUUUCACAAAUAUAUGUUUCUUCCAAUUAAAUAAGUUAAUUAAGAGAAGGUCUGGAAUCUUUAUCACCCACAGUUCCUGGCAAUGCCUUUUACAUAAUAAGUUCAUAAUUAAUAUCUGUUAAUAAAAAUUACUGCUAUUCUUAAACUGAGUAUAUGGAGACCAUCUGCUUAAAAUAUAUGUGUGUUUGUGUGCAUGUGCCUAAGUAAUUUUUCUCCAUAUAUGUAUAUUUUAAAUAUUCAAUAAAA